GCCUCGGGGAGCUGAUAAACGAGCUUUGAUCCGAGGAUCUCCGAAUGGGGAAACCCCGCUGGGCCCGUAAGGUGACCCAGUGACUCCCGCCUGAAUAUAUAGGGCGGGUAGAGGGAACGUGGGGAAGUGAAACAUCUCAGUACCC
rnacentral:rRNA from 1 species